AUGAGACCGUAUGUUAUAAAGGAAACCAACUCAAUCAUUUUUCCAGUGUUACAUUAGCACCACCUUUAUUAUUGUGAGAUCCUCAUAAUCCUAACAAACAUCUCAAUCUCAUCAAAACAAUACGAAAAACCCUAUCAUAAUCAUUGGUGAUGCAAGAAUAAAAUUGAAAAUAAGAGGAAACACAGAUGAAUAGAGUGACAAAAUAAACAAGUUAGAGAUGUGUAACCUUCAAAAGAUCAACCUAUAUCAGAAAUCACUUGAUCUGUACAUUUGAUAGAUAAGAAAGAAAAUUACUCAUAAAAGAUAGAAAAAAAAGGAAAAUAUGACAAUUUUUCAGCAGUACGUAUUUUUUUACCCUUUGUAUUUUGUUUAUACAAUCAUAAAGUGAUUAUGAACCAGAGAUUUCUAUUAAAUAAUGUAAGCUAAAUAUUUAUAUUAAGUACAUCCUCAAUUAUAUAAAUCAAUCAAACAUGUAAUGAGUAACAAACCUUGACAUUAAUUAGUUUAGAAAGAUAUGUAUUGAACAUCAAAAUUAAUUAAAUAUAUACUUAUAUCCUAAAGAACAUAAAAUGUCAUCUUCUAUAUUCUGAUAAUUAAACAAUUAACAUAAGUUAUAUAGAUUAAAAAAUAUGCUAAAAUACUAAUUAUAAGUAGAAAAUGAAAAAGAAAAAAAGAAAAAAGAAUAAUUACAAGAAAAUGAAAAAGAAAAAAAGAAAAUAGAAUAAUUACAAGAAAAUGAAAAUGAGACCGUAUGUUAUAAAGGAAACCAACUCAAUCAUUUUUCCAGUGUUACAUUAGCACCACCUUUAUUAUUGUGAGAUCCUCAUAAUCCUAACAAACAUCUCAAUCUCAUCAAAACAAUACGAAAAACCCUAUCAUAAUCAUUGGUGACGCAAGAAUAAAAUUGAAAAUAAGAGGAAACACAGAUGAAUAGAGCGACAAAAUAAACAUGUUAGAGAUGUGUAACCUUCAAAAUAUCAGCCUAUAUCAGAAAUCACUUGAUUUAUACAUUUGAUAGAUAAUAAAGAAAAUUACUCAUAAAAGAUAGAAAAAAAAGGAAAAUAUGACAAUUUUUACGUAGUACGUAUUUCUUUAGCCUUUGUAUUUUGUUUAUACAAUUAUAAAGUGAUUAUGAACCAGAGAUUUCUAUUAAAUAAUGUAAGCUAAAUAUUUCAAUUAAGUACAUCCUCAAUUAUUUAAAUCAAUCAAACAUGUAAUGAUUAACAAACCUUGACAAAAAUCGUUUAGAAAGAUAUGUAUUGAACAUCAAAAUAAAUUAAAUAUAUACUUAUAUCCUAAAGAACACAAAAUGUCAUCUUCUAUAUUCUUAUAAUUAAACAAUUAACAUAAGUUAUACAUAUUAAAAAUAUGCUAAAAUACUAAAUAUAAGUAUAAAAUUAAAGAGAGAAAAAGAAAAUAGAAUAAUUACAUGAAAAUGAAAAACGAAAAAGAAAAUAUAAUAAUUACAAGAAAAUGAAAAUGAGACCGUAUGGUAUAAAGGAAACCAACUCAAUCAUUUUUCCAGUGUUACAUUAGCAUCACCUUUAUUAUUGUGAGAUCCUCAUAAUCCUAACAAACAUCUCAAUCUCAUCAAAACAAUACGAAAAACCCUAUCAUAAUCAUUGGUGAUGCAAGAAUAAAAUUGAAAAUAAGAGGAAACACAGAUGAAUAGAGUGACAAAAUAAACAAGUUAGAGAUGUGUAACCUUCAAAAGAUCAACCUAUAUCAGAAAUCACUUGAUCUGUACAUUUGAUAGAUAAGAAAGAAAAUUACUCAUAAAAGAUAGAAAAAAAAGGAAAAUAUGACAAUUUUUCAGCAGUACGUAUUUUUUUACCCUUUGUAUUUUGUUUAUACAAUCAUAAAGUGAUUAUGAACCAGAGAUUUCUAUUAAAUAAUGCAAGCUAAAUAUUUAUAUUAAGUACAUCCUCAAUUAUAUAAAUCAAUCAAACAUGUAAUGAGUAACAAACCUUGACAUUAAUUAGUUUAGAAAGAUAUGUAUUGAACAUCAAAAUUAAUUAAAUAUAUACUUAUAUCCUAAAGAACAUAAAAUGUCAUCUUCUAUAUUCUGAUAAUUAAACAAUUAACAUAAGUUAUAUAGAUUAAAAAAUAUGCUAAAAUACUAAUUAUAAGUAGAAAAUGAAAAAGAAAAAAAGAAAAAAGAAUAAUUACAAGAAAAUGAAAAAGAAAAAAAGAAAAUAGAAUAAUUACAAGACAAUGAAAAUGAGACCGUAUGUAUUAAAGGAAACCAACCCAAUCAUUUUUCUAGUGUUACAUUAGCACCAACUUUAUUAUUGUGAGAUCCUCAUAAUCCUAACAAACAUCUCAAUCUCAUCAAAACAAUACGAAAAACCCUAUCAUAAUCAUUGGUGAUGCAAGAAUAAAAUUGAAAAUAAGAGGAAACACAGAUGAAUAGAGUGACAAAAUAAACAAGUUAGAGAUGUGUAACCUUCAAAAGAUCAACCUAUAUCAGAAAUCACUUGAUCUGUACAUUUGAUAGAUAAGAAAGAAAAUUACUCAUAAAAGAUAGAAAAAAAAGGAAAAUAUGACAAUUUUUCAGCAGUACGUAUUUUUUUAACCUUUGUAUUUUGUUUAUACAAUCAAAAAGUGAUUAUGAACCAGAAAUUUCUAUUAAAUAUUGUAAGCUAAAUAUUUAUAUUAAGUACAUCCUCAAUUAUAUAAAUCAAUCAAACAUGUAAUGAGUAACAAACCUUGACAUUAAUUAGUUUAGAAAGAUAUGUAUUGAACAUCAAAAUUAAUUAAAUAUAUACUUAUAUCCUAAAGAACAUAAAAUGUCAUCUUCUAUAUUCUGAUAAUUAAACGAUUAACAUAAGUUAUAUAGAUUAAAAAAUAUGCUAAAAUACUAAUUAUAAGUAGAAAAUGAAAAAGAAAAAAAGAAAAAAGAAUAAUUACAAGAAAAUGAAAAAGAAAAAAAGAAAAUAGAAUAAUUACAAGACAAUGAAAAUGAGACCGUAUGUAUUAAAGGAAACCAACCCAAUCAUUUUUCUAGUGUUACAUUAGCACCAACUUUAUUAUUGUGAGAUCCUCAUAAUCCUAACAAACAUCUCAAUCUCAUCAAAACAAUACGAAAAACCCUAUCAUAAUCAUUGGUGAUGCAAGAAUAAAAUUGAAAAUAAGAGGAAACACAGAUGAAUAGAGUGACAAAAUAAACAAGUUAGAGAUGUGUAACCUUCAAAAGAUCAACCUAUAUCAGAAAUCACUUGAUUCGUACAUUUGAUAGAUAAGAAAGAAAAUUACUCAUAAAAGAUAGAAAAAAAAGGAAAAUAUGACAAUUUUUCAGCAGUACGUAUUUUUUUAACCUUUGUAUUUUGUUUAUACAAUCAAAAAGUGAUUAUGAACCAGAAAUUUCUAUUAAAUAUUGUAAGCUAAAUAUUUAUAUUAAGUACAUCCUCAAUUAUAUAAAUCAAUCAAACAUGUAAUGAGUAACAAACCUUGACAUUAAUUAGUUUAGAAAGAUAUGUAUUGAACAUCAAAAUUAAUUAAAUAUAUACUUAUAUCCUAAAGAACAUAAAAUGUCAUCUUCUAUAUUCUUAUAAUUAAACAAUUAACAUAAGUUAUACAUAUUAAAAAUAUGCUAAAAUACUAAAUAUAAGUAGAAAAUGAACGAGAGAAAAAGAAAAUAGAAUAAUUACAAGAAAAUGAAAAACAAAAAAGAAAAUAUAAUAAUUACAAGAAAAUGAAAAUGAGACCGUAUGGUAUAAAGGAAACCAACUCAAUCAUUUUUCCAGUGUUACAUUAGCAUCACCUUUAUUAUUGUGAGAUCCUCAUAAUCCUUACAAACAUCUCAAUAUCAUAAAAACGAUAUGAAAAACCCUAUCAUAAUCAUUGGUGAUGGAAGAAUAAAAUUGAAAAUAAGAGGAAACACAGAUGAAUAGAGAGACAAAAUAAACAACUUAGAGAUGUGUAACCUUCAAAAGAUUAACCUAUAUCAGAAAUCAAUUGAUCCGUACAUUUGAUAGAUAAGAAAGAAAAUUACUCAUAAAAGAUAGAAAAAAAAGGAAAAUAUGACAAUUUUUCAGCAGUACGUCUUUUUUUAACCUUUGUAUUUUGUUUAUACAAUCAAAAAGUGAUUAUGAACCAGAAAUUUCUAUUAAAUAUUGUAAGCUAAAUAUUUAUAUUAAGUAAAUCCUCAAUUAUAUAAAUCAAUCACACAUGUAAUGAGUAACAAACCUUGACAUUAAUUAGUUUAGAAAGAUAUGUAUUGAACAUCAAAAUUAAUUAAAUAUAUACUUAUAUCCUAAAGAACAUAAAAUGUCAUCUUUUAUAUUCUGAUAAUUAAAUAAUUAACAUAAGUUAUAUAGAUUAAAAAAUAUGCUAAAAUAUUAAUGAUAAGUAGAAAAUGAAAAAGAAUAAUUACAAGAAAAUGAAAAAGAAAAAAAGAAAAUAGAAUAAUUACAAGAAAAUGAAAAUGAGACAGUACGUAUUAAAGGAAACCAACUCAAUCAUUUUUCCAGUGUUACAUUAGCACCACCUUUAUUAUUGUGAGAUCCUCAUAAUCCUAACAAACAUCUCAAUCUCUUCAAAACAAUACAAAAAACCCUAUCAUAAUCAUUGGUGACGUAGGAAAAAAUUGAAAAUAAGAGGAAACACAGAUGAAUAGAGCGACAAAAUAAACAUGUUAGAGAUGUGUAAGCUUCAAAAUAUCA
rnacentral:lncRNA from 1 species